rnacentral:lncRNA from 1 species
GACAUAAUGAAUAACUGACCAAAGAUUAUGAAACUUAUUUUAAAAAAGGUGAAGUGGUAUGAGUGUAAAUGAGACAACUAUCCACCAAAGUUCAAAUAAAGUGGAGGUAGGAAAUUACAGCCUUCAAACAAUGAUAGAAACUCCUAAUUUAUAGCAAAACAAUUAAAGAAAAAAAAAUAUGACAGACAUGAACCAACAAAAACCAUUAUACUACAGGAUCCUGACUUGGUACAAGCACAUAUAAAGAAUGAGGAGGGGUUAAACAUGUUUGGGGGCACACAAUACUGUAAAUUCAGAAGUUAUUGUGUCAAGAAAUCUGAAUUGGGUGGCCAGUUUUUUGUCGAGACAAUAAUGAUAGUAAACAAACAGAGAAC